UUACGACAAAGGUAAACCCUAAGUGAUUAGGGGACGCAAAGUGAAUAGGGUCUUUAAAUUUCAAUAAAGAUUGCCUCACU
rnacentral:ncRNA from 1 species